GUUUGGCACCUCGAUGUCGGCUCAUCGCAUCCUGGGGCUGUAGUCGGUCCCAAGGGUUGGGCUGUUCGCCCAUUAAAGCGGUACGCGAGCUGGGUUCAGAACGUCGUGAGACAGUUCGGUCCCUAUCCGUCGCGGGCGCAGGAAAUUUGAGAGGAGCUGUCCUUAGUACGAGAGGACCGGGAUGGACGCACCGCUGGUGUACCAGUUGUUCUGCCAAGGGCAUCGCUGGGUAGCUAUGUGCGGACGGGAUAAGUGCUGAAAGCAUCUAAGCAUGAAGCCCCCCUCAAGAUGAGAUUUCCCAUUCCGCAAGGAAGUAAGAUCCCUGAAAGAUGAUCAGGUUGAUAGGUCUGAGGUGGAAGUGUGGCGACACAUGGAGCUGACAGAUACUAAUCGAUCGAGGACUUAACCAC
rnacentral:rRNA from 1 species